AAAAAAAAAAAAAAAAAAACUACUUCUUAGUUCCACGGACAAUACAUGUUUAAAGCUGUAGAUUAAGAUUUCAUUCCAAAAUAAAAACUACAUAUUAAGCUUAUUUUCUUUUGAACUCAAAGAAAAUUUUGUCAUUAGUACUAAAGUAGAGGGUACAAUAUGAAUCGAUACGUUGUCAUGCGUACAGAGGACAAACAAGAUCAUCUGAUCUGUAUGAGGGUUGCAUCCUCAUUACAAAUUUCAGCUCACAAGGAGCCUAUAAUCUAAUAGCAAAUAGAUCAUAAGCUAAGAUCCCACCUAGAAAACUAGAAAAAGACUAAAAGAAAGAUAGACUCAUAACGCCAAAACGCCAUGAGGCACAAAAGUGCUUAGAGUCCUAAUGAAAUGAACUUAUUGUACUAGAAAACUAUAAACUAAAAAGCAUCCCAAAGCCCAAAAAGAAAUUAAACCUAAACCCAAAAUAGUUGACCUAGCCCAAACUUUCCUUCACAGUUGCAGGAAGGACAUGGAAGAGGAACACCAUAGCCGUCGCCGCCGUGAGAUGAAGUUACAAUCGUGAGACGUCACAGUCGUGGGACACCACCUCCUUGUUCCGCGCAGCCCCAAGCACACCCGAGAGAGAAAAAACUCCAUCGUCGCCACAAACAACAUCUCUAUCAAACCAAAACUCCUCCCAAGAAUAGAUAAGAACGGAGAUGAAAUCGGGAAGAUGAAACCAGAUCUGCUCCUCGAGUCCAUAGUGUUAUACCUCCACCCUAAUCUGAAAAGCUACGCUGAUCAAAAGCUGUUAAGAAAGUCACGCUGAUCAAAAGCUGUUAAGAACCUCUGACCAAUUACCUCUCAAAGCAUUUGGUUGCUGACAUAUCUUUCAUCCGACAACAAAGUCAUAUGGCUUCAGCAGAUCUAGAGACCUGCCUAGCGUUAGACCGUUGCCGGAUGAUGGUGGGAUUUCGUGGUUGGCGGCCGACUUAGAGAGAGAGAGAGAGAGAGAGAGAGAGAGAGAGAGAGAG
rnacentral:lncRNA from 1 species